GGGAUUACUCUUUAGGCAGUGGUGUAGUCCACGUGAUACAAAGGUAUACACAGUAUACCCAAUAAGAAAGCUCCAGGAUUUUCCAAAUACCCA